UACGGAGGAUGCAAGCGUUAUCCGGAAUGAUUGGGCGUAAAGCGUCCGCAGGUGGCAAUGUAAGUCUGCUGUCAAAGCGUCUGGCUCAACCAGAUAAAGGCAGUGGAAACUACAUAGCUAGAGUAAGGUAGGGGUAGAGGGAAUUCCUGGUGUAGCGGUGAAAUGCGUAGAGAUCAGGAAGAACACCGGUGGCGAAGGCGACUACCUGGCCUGUUCUUGACGCUGAGGCGCGAAAGCCAGGGGAGCAAACGGG
rnacentral:rRNA from 1 species